UAGCUGAAAUGCAUGGUGGGAAAUUCGUGUGAAAGUCAUGAGCUGUACCCGCAACCGUAUAGUCGGAGCGCCACCCAGUUAAGUCCGCUGUUGAAUGAUGGCCGGGAACAGUCUAGUUCUACAAUGAAAAA
rnacentral:ncRNA from 10 species